rnacentral:lncRNA from 1 species
GAGAAAUUCCUUGAUUAAGCAAUACCAACCUAGGGAUAGGNGGUAGGACGAUCAAUUGUUUUUACUUCUGUUCUUAAUGCAUUAUUAAUUGCUAGGGGAGGCUAGGGAUAGCAAGCCGGUAAUUAGUAAUAAGCUCGUUUCGCCGAGGUAUCGGGUUAAGUGUAGACAAGAAAGUUUGCAUAACAAUUAGAUAAUCAAGCACAUUAAACAAGAGGAGUAGAUAAGAGGGAGUGAAUAAGAUGAAAUUGUAAACCCCCAACAACUUCAUUCAUCCAUAGUCUUUUUUGUCAAUUGAAUCAAACACAUUGCAUGUUUAUUUUCUGUCUUUGCAUCCACAACAAUUAAUUCUUUCUCUACAAGUCUUACAAUUUUAAUUCACACGAACGAUCCUUUCGAGUCUCUUGGGAAGAACGAUAUCGGGCAUUAUCGAUUAU